UGACUGCACAUGCCAGCAUCCCCAGACAAAAGCUCUCCUGGCACAUAAUGGGAACAGAAGGGAGCGCUGGGCAGCGGCAUUCAGCCCUUGGGGAGCUGCUUUCCGAGCCCUUACUCUAGGGCUCCAGCCCCUUCUCUUUCCGAGUCAGCCAGGACUGCAGACUCGCAGAUAAUCCCCGUUCAAAAACCAGAUGGGUAUUUCAGCUCUCCACCAGUACCUUUGUACAUCAGCGGAUUUGCUCCAAUUGAGCUCUGGACCAAAGAAGUGCCUGGUUGCAGGAAGUCCCCAGAAAGUGACCUUCCCACUUGCUGCUUUUUGGUGUCACUGGACACCUUCAUCGGGUACGUGAUGGAGCAGGGUGACUGGGUGACACGGCUGUGCUCCUGGUUACCUCUCUGUCCUGCUCAGCUCACGAAGUCUGUACGACCUCCACCAAUGAGAGACCAAAGCACCCCAUGGCUGCUUAGCUGCACCUUGGCAAAACACUUACAACCCUAAAACUCCUGCUCUGAAGUCACCUCGAAACACCACCCGCCUCAACUUUUACCUGUGCAUCUUCUGAGCAUCUGGUGGCCUCUGGGUAGGCACAUCGCAGACCUUGGUGAAGGCCUGACUCCACAGGCUAGGGACACAGCACCACCUGGUGAAGCUCCACGGCUUAGCUCUGGCUUGACCAUGAGGAGGUACUGCUGCUCCACUUUCGCUUGUGGUGCUAUUAAAAUAAAAAGCAAAAAGGGAGAGAAAAGGAGCAGAACAUGCGUGAUCUGCAGAGAGCAUGCACAGAGCAGAGUGAGUGUGCACAGGGCAAGUAUGUGCAGGGAGUGGGGUGAGUGUGCAUGUGCGCACAGGGUAGGCGUGGAUAGAGGAGCAAGUACCUGCAUAGAGCAGGGUGAAUGUGCAUGUAUGUGCACAGAGGAGUGAGGGUGCCUGUGUGAGCACGCACAAAGCAGCAAGUAUGUGCACUGAGCAGGGUGAGUGAGCACAUCUGCACAGAGCAGCAAGUUUCUGCACGGAGCAGCGAGUUUGUGCACAGAGCAGAGUGGGCACGUGUGCACAGCAUAAGUGCGCACAGAGCAGGGUAUGCAGCGUAAACGCGCACAGAGCAGCAAGGAUGCAGAGUGAAUGUCCACAGAUCAGAGUAUGCAGUGCAGAGUAUACAGUGAAUGUGUACAGAGCGGGGUGAGUGUGCACGGGUACACACUGUAAGCAUGCACAGACUGGUGUAAGAGAGCACAUGCAGGGCAGAGCAACCAUGCACAGAACACGGGGACAACUCUGUCAGGUCCCAGGUGAGAACAAAACCUGCAAACUUAUUCAGUGGUUGCAGACCUGGCCAGGUUAACAUUUGGUGGGUGACAGGCACUGUUGGGCAAAGACAUAAAGAAUUAAAGGUGCAAAUUGGUCCUUUCCCUGUGAGACAAUGAA